rnacentral:rRNA from 1 species
GAUGAACGCUGGCGGCGUGCUUAACACAUGCAAGUCGAACGAAGCAUUUACGACAGAUUUCUUCGGAUUGAAGUUGUUUAUGACUGAGUGGCGGACGGGUGAGUAACGCAUGGGUAACCUGCCUUGUACUGGGGGAUAGCAGCUGGAAACGGCUGGUAAUACCGCAUAAGCGCACAAUGUUGCAUGACAUGGUGGGAAAAACUCCGGUGGUAUAAGAUGGACCCGCGUCUGAUUAGCUAGUUGGUGAGAUAACAGCCCACCAAGGCGACGAUCAGUAGCCGACCUGAGAGGGUGACCGGCCACAUUGGGACUGAGACACGGCCCAGACUCCUACGGGAGGCAGCAGUGGGGAAUAUUGCACAAUGGAGGAAACUCUGAUGCAGCGACGCCGCGUGAGUGAAGAAGUAAUUCGUUAUGUAAAGCUCUAUCAGCAGGGAAGAUAGUGACGGUACCUGACUAAGAAGCUCCGGCUAAAUACGUGCCAGCAGCCGCCGUAA